rnacentral:rRNA from 1 species
AGGGGGCUAGCGUUGUUCGGAAUUACUGGGCGUAAAGCGCGUGUAGGCGGGGCUUUAAGUCAGGGGUGAAAUGCCAAGGCUCAACCUUGGAACUGCCUUUGAUACUGAAGAUCUUGAGUUCGGGAGAGGUGAGUGGAACUGCGAGUGUAGAGGUGAAAUUCGUAGAUAUUCGCAAGAACACCAGUGGCGAAGGCGGCUCACUGGCCCGAUACUGACGCUGAGGCACGAAAGCGUGGGGAGCAAACAGG